GCCCGGCUAGCUCAGUCGGUAGAGCAUGAGACUCUUAAUCUCAGGGUCGUGGGUUAGAGCCCAACGCUGGGCG
rnacentral:tRNA from 1 species